GCCGGGCUGGCUCAUUCGGCAGAGCGUGCGACUCUCGAUCUCGAGGUCUUGGGUUCGAACCCCACGUCAGACA
rfam:Felis catus isolate Cinnamon breed Abyssinian chromosome D2, whole genome shotgun sequence.